rfam:Flavobacterium spartansii strain MST NODE_3_length_580379_cov_49.0781, whole genome shotgun sequence.
CCCUAGCCCUGAUAGAAGUGGUAUCCUUUUUCUUGCUCCUUUAGCAAGGAAAAGAUACAAGCGGAUAGCAGGAAAUAGC